AACGAACGCUGGCGGCAUGCCUAACACAUGCAAGUCGAGGGGUAGAACACUUCGGUGUUUGAGACCGGCGCACGGGUGCGUAACGCGUAUGCAAUCUACCUUGUACAGGGGAAUAGCCCAGAGAAAUUUGGAUUAAUGCCCCAUAGUAUAUAACCUUCGCAUGUUGGUUAUAUUAAAGUUCCAACGGUACAAGAUGAGCAUGCGUCCCAUUAGUUAGUUGGUAAGGUAACGGCUUACCAAGACGAUGAUGGGUAGGGGUCCUAAGAGGGAGAUCCCCCACACUGGUACUGAGACACGGACCAGACUCCUACGGGAGGCAGCAGUGAGGAAUAUUGGUCAAUGGGCGCAAGCCUGAACCAGCCAUGCCGCGUGCAGGAAGACGGUCCUAUGGAUUGUAAACUGCUUUUAUACAGGAAGAAACCCUCCCACGUGUGGGAGAUUGACGGUACUGUAGGAAUAAGGAUCGGCUAACUCCGUGCCAGCAGCCGCAGUAACAC
rnacentral:rRNA from 1 species